rnacentral:rRNA from 1 species
CGUGGGAACGUGCCUUUAGGUUCGGAAUAACUCAGGGAAACUUGUGCUAAUACCGGAUGUGCCCUUCGGGGGAAAGAUUUAUCGCCUUUAGAGCGGCCCGCGUCUGAUUAGCUAGUUGGUGAGGUAAUGGCUCACCAAGGCUACGAUCAGUAGCUGGUCUGAGAGGAUGACCAGCCACAUUGGGACUGAGACACGGCCCAAACUCCUACGGGAGGCAGCAGUGGGGAAUCUUGCGCAAUGGGCGAAAGCCUGACGCAGCCAUGCCGCGUGAAUGAUGAAGGUCUUAGGAUUGUAAAAUUCUUUCACCGGGGACGAUAAUGACGGUACCCGGAGAAGAAGCCCCGGCUAACUUCGUGCCAGCAGCCGCGGUAAUACGAAGGGGGCUAGCGUUGCUCGGAAUUACUGGGCGUAAAGGGAGCGUAGGCGGACAUUUAAGUCAGGGGUGAAAUCCCGGGGCUCAACCUCGGAACUGCCCUUGAUACUGGAUGUCUUGAGUGUGAGAGAGGUAUGUGGAACUCCGAGUGUAGAGGUGAAAUUCGUAGAUAUUCGGAAGAACACCAGUGGCGAAGGCGACAUACUGGCUCAUUACUGACGCUGA